UACGGGGGGGGCAAGCGUUGUUCGGAAUUACUGGGCGUAAAGGGUGCGUAGGCGGCCAACUAAGUCAGACGUGAAAUCCCUCGGCUUAACCGGGGAACUGCGUCUGAUACUGGAUGGCUUGAGUUUGGGAGAGGGAUGCGGAAUUCCAGGUGUAGCGGUGAAAUGCGUAGAUAUCUGGAGGAACACCGGUGGCGAAGGCGGCAUCCUGGACCAACACUGACGCUGAGUGAGCGAAAGCCAGGGGAGCAAACGGG
rnacentral:rRNA from 1 species